rnacentral:rRNA from 1 species
UACGUAGGGUGCAAGCGUUGUCCGGAAUUAUUGGGCGUAAAGAGCGCGCAGGCGGUCGUGCAAGUCGCGUGUGAAAGCCCCCGGCUCAACUGGGGAGGGUCACGCGAUACUGCUCGACUCGAAGGCAGGAGAGGGAAGUGGAAUUCCCGGUGUAGUGGUGAAAUGCGUAGAUAUCGGGAGGAACACCGGUGGCGAAGGCGGCGUUCUGGACUGCAACUGACACUGAGGAACGAAAGCCAGGGGAGCAAACGGG